GUGUCGAUCAAUACUACAAAGUGUCGAUCGAUACUUCUUUUAGACAAGCAUUAAUGUUCAGAUCGAUUUGUUCACUAAGUUCAUUAAACCAGCUCUCGCAUGCGCCUAACAAGUUAGCUCAACAUGAUUCUGUUCAUGUAAUUGACCAGCUCUCGCAUGUGCUUAACACUUCAAGAAAUAUGAGUUUUGUUAGUAGUAGCUGAUAGGGUUUUUUGACUUUCUGGUAUGGUUGACACACCCCUUAGUUUUAGAUAGCGUUUGUUUAAAUGCAAACGCUAUGAUGAGUUGGUCCGAUUUUAAUUCUGCAAACGCUUUUUAGAAACACAGAAUACAUAGCACUGUUAGUUUUGAAACACUAUGCAUAAUUAAAGCGGGAAAAUAUUUUCAUUUUCUCUCUCACCCUUGUUUUAUUUUCCCUCUCACUUCAUCUCAUUUGUCAACCCUCAAACAACCUUAAACCCUAAAAUCUAAACUUUAAAUACAACCCCUAAAACUCAAAUAUUGUCUUAUUUUAAGCUCAAAUCUUAAGUUUAAAUUCAAUUUUAAUAUUUCAAAAGAAAUUAAUUUCAAAUAUUAAAUCCAAACCUCAAACCCUAAACUAUAGACCUUUACCAUACCCCAAAUUAAUCAUAUACCCUAAACUCUAACCAAAAAUCUUAAAACUCUAAACUUUUUAUUAUUUAAGUUCAAAUCUCAAAUUUAAUUUAAAAUCUUAAAUAUAAAAUCAAAAUACUAUCUC
rnacentral:lncRNA from 1 species